UGCCCGUUUGAUGAGCUGUGCUUUGCGUC
rnacentral:piRNA from 1 species